rnacentral:lncRNA from 1 species
AAAAAUUCAAAUUUAAAAGGAAAACGAUCGUCAAAACUGACAUAAUCUAAGAAGGUGAAUCCCACAAUAAAGCUUCAAGAGCAAAUUAAGAUGAAGCACCACUACGGAGAGCACCCUUCUUCUUGCUUGUUGCCAAUUGGGUCUCGGGCUACAAUAACCACAAUAAAAAAUAUUUUAACACAAGAAAGGAAGUCAAAAUAAAGUUAACAGAGAGAUGGUCAAUCUUACCUCUUUCUUCACAGGCUCUUCCUUCUCAGAUAAUAUCAGCUCAAUAUGGCAGGGAGAUGACAUGUAAG